UACGUAGGGUGCGAGCGUUAAUCGGAAUUACUGGGCGUAAAGCGUGCGUAGGCGGUUCGUUAAGUCAGCUGUGAAAGCCCCGGGCUCAACCUGGGAACUGCGGUUGAAACUGGCGAACUAGAAUCUGGCAGAGGGGGGUGGAAUCCACGUGUAGCAGUGAAAUGCGUAGAGAUGUGGAGGAACACCGAUGGCGAAGGCAGCCCCCUGGGCUGAGAUUGACGCUCAGGCACGAAAGCGUGGGGAGCAAACAGG
rnacentral:rRNA from 1 species